AUUCCCUACGGGGUGCAGCAGGCGCGAAAACUUUACAAUGCGGGAAACCGUGAUAAGGGGACACCGAGUGCCAGCAUCAUAUGCUGGCUGUCCGGGUGUGUAAAAUACACCUGUUAGCAAGGGCCGGGCAAGACCGGUGCCAGCCGCCGCGGUAACACCGGCGGCCCGAGUGGUGAUCGUGAUUAUUGGGUCUAAAGGGUCCGUAGCCGGUUUGGUCAGUCCUCCGGGAAAUCUGAUGGCUCAACCAUUAGGCUUUCGGGGGAUACUGCCAGGCUUGGAACCGGGAGAGGUAAGAGGUACUACAGGGGUAGGAGUGAAAUCUUGUAAUCCCUGUGGGACCACCUGUGGCGAAGGCGUCUUACCAGAACGGGUUCGACGGUGAGGGACGAAAGCUGGGGGCACGAACCGGAUUAGAUACCCGGGUAGUCCCAGCCGUAAACGAUGCUCGCUAGGUGUCAGGCAUGGCGCGACCGUGUCUGGUGCCGCAGGGAAGCCGUGAAGCGAGCCACCUGGGAAGUACGGCCGCAAGGCUGAAACUUAAAGGAAUUGGCGGGGGAGCACAACAACGGGUGGAGCCUGCGGUUUAAUUGGACUCAACGCCGGACAACUCACCGGGGACGACAGCAAAAUGUAGGCCAGGCUGAAGACCUUGCCUGAAUCGCUGAGAAG
rnacentral:rRNA from 1 species